CCCUUAGAUGUUCUGGGCCGCACGCGCGCUACACUGAUGCAUUCAACGAGCCUAGCCUUGACCGAGAGGUCCGGGUAAUCUUUGAAACUGCAUCGUGAUGGGGCUAGAUUAUUGCAAUUAUUAAUCUUCAACGAGGAAUGCCUAGUAAGCGUGAUUCAUCAAAUCGCGUUGAUUACGUCCCUGCCCUUUGUACACACCGCCCGUCGCUCCUACCGAUUGAGUGUGUUGGUGAGGAGUUCGGAUUGGCUCUUAGUGGUGGUUCGCCACCACCUAGAGCUGAGAAGUUCUCCAAACCGCNCNACUUAGNGGAAGGAGAANUCGUANCA
rnacentral:rRNA from 1 species